CAGACCCCAGAGGGUAUUUCAGUUCCGGUACUUAAAACAGGAAAUUCGGGAACGUCCAAGGCUUUGAGGAUGGGCAAUUGCUUUAAUUGUAAAGCAACUGCAAUGAAGUUUUGCAGAAAAAGCUCUUUAGACAUUAAACUGUCAAAACGCAACAUAAAUAGGAUCCAACUGGUCAGCUAAAAAUCCAUCUCUCAAGUGCAUUCGUUGUUUCUCGCCACGGGAAUUGAUAGGAAUAACACCGGGGUCCACAAUGACUACAACACCUACUAUGAGAUAAUGCUCUUCCAGAACGACAUUUGUUACCAGCGCGACCAGGUCCAACGC